rnacentral:rRNA from 1 species
CCUACGGGUGGCUGCAGUGGGGAAUAUUGGACAAUGGGCGAAAGCCUGAUCCAGCCAUGCCGCGUGUGUGAAGAAGGCCUUCGGGUUGUAAAGCACUUUCAGUGGGGAAGAAAGCCUUGGGGCUAAUACCCUCGAGGAAGGACAUCACCCACAGAGGAAGCACCGGCUAACUCCGUGCCAGCAGCCGCGGUAAUACGGAGGGUGCGAGCGUUAAUCGGAAUUACUGGGCGUAAAGCGCGCGUAGGCGGUCUGAUAAGCCGGUUGUGAAAGCCCCGGGCUCAACCUGGGAACGGCAUCCGGAACUGUCAGGCUAGAGUGCAGGAGAGGAAGGUAGAAUUCCCGGUGUAGCGGUGAAAUGCGUAGAGAUCGGGAGGAAUACCAGUGGCGAAGGCGGCCUUCUGGACUGACACUGACGCUGAGGUGCGAAAGCGUGGGUAGCAAACAGGAUUAGAUACCUUGUAGUC